rnacentral:rRNA from 2 species
GAAAGCCACGGCUAACUACGUGCCAGCAGCCGCGGUAAUACGUAGGUGGCAAGCGUUGUCCGGAAUUAUUGGGCGUAAAGCGCGCGCAGGCGGUUUCUUAAGUCUGAUGUGAAAGCCCACGGCUCAACCGUGGAGGGUCAUUGGAAACUGGGGAACUUGAGUGCAGAAGAGGAGAGUGGAAUUCCACGUGUAGCGGUGAAAUGCGUAGAGAUGUGGAGGAACACCAGUGGCGAAGGCGACUCUCUGGUCUGUAACUGACGCUGAGGCGCGAAAGCGUGGGGAGCGAACAGGAUUAGAUACCCUGGUAGUCCACGCCGUAAACGAUGAGUGCUAAGUGUUAGAGGGUUUCCGCCCUUUAGUGCUGCAGCAAACGCAUUAAGCACUCCGCCUGGG